rnacentral:rRNA from 1 species
UACGUAGGGUGCGAGCGUUAAUCGGAAUUACUGGGCGUAAAGUGUGCGCAGGCGGCCGCGCAAGUCGUGUGUGAAAGCCCCGGGCUUAACUUGGGAAUUGCGCUCGAAACUACGUGGCUAGAGUGUGGCAGAGGGAGGUGGAAUUCCACGUGUAGCGGUGAAAUGCGUAGAGAUGUGGAGGAACACCGAUGGCGAAGGCAGCCCCCUGGGAUAAUACUGACGCUCAUGCACGAAAGCGUGGGGAGCAAACAGG